rnacentral:lncRNA from 1 species
CGCGAAUGUGUAAACAAUCAAAAUUGUAUUUUAAACGUGCCUAAAGCACUUUCUCGGUGUACAGUAACACAACUCGUUGCUGGCUUUUCCAAUAUCUGAUAAAGUAAUGGUUUCCCCAUUUUUGAAGAAACGUGACCUACUCACAAUUCCUUCCUCAACUUAAUUGUUAAAAUGCUUACAAGGACACAACUUUGUCCUAUUUAUUUUUGGGAAUAUGUGAUUAACCAAAUUCAAUCCACAGCAAAAUUAAAUCUUGAAGCAGAAUAGAGAAAUCCCAAAUCAGAAGAAUCAGGAAUCCUGCACUAGGGCUAAAUCUGAUGAGUGAAAUCACAUAAAGAUCUAAAUCUACAAACCUAACCUCAACAUUUCUUAAUAGCAAUCUUAUUCAGAUCCAAGAUAACUAAGAUUCAAGAAAUAAAAUAAGAGGUGAAACAAUAAGUAUCCAAAAAAACUGGCAGAGAAUCGGCAAAGCAACACGGAGUAUUGUGAACAAGAAUUCUUGAAACUUGCAAGCAAAAUAUUUUUUGUUAAAACUACCAAAUUCUAACGUAUCUAACCUCUUCAUUCAUCUUUUGGCUUCAACAUUUACAUCAAAGAAGGAUGAGCAAGGUUUCAGCGGUAGGCCAUUUCCGAUUCAACUCUCAAAUAUAUACACGGUUAACAACAGCAAAUCGAAUAACUAGAGCAGUUGUACCACUGUAAGCUAAACACCCACUUAAUUCAUUACUUUAGGAACAGAAUCUAUUGAUCAGGAUUCAAGCCAAACAAACAUAGUCAUGGAGAAAAUCAAGCACAUGUUAAUGCAUCAAUCCAUACUUUAUUACAAAAAAUAAAUGAGCUCAACACACGGACAGAUCCAAAGACUUGCAGUCAUGAUUCAAUACCUGAGGAAUAGCAAAUCUUCUUUUAAUAGCAAUAAAAAUGAAAAGGCCGCUACAAAACUUCGAAUCAGAAAUCCGAGUGGGAAAACAACAGCAAGGGUCGCACAGGAACCUUCGAACCUCGACGAACAGUGAUGAACUUAAACCAACCUUAGCUUAGACAUUUUUUCGGAUGUUUGAAAGAUUUAUUUGAGGAAGAAAGAACAGUUGGGUCAUAUCUCGGUGAGACUGCUUGAAUCGCCAUUGGUUAUGAUGUUUUGAGUUUGUUCAUACUUUUACACGCUGGAUCUUGAACGAAUUCCGCCAUGUGACCACAUGAUUUUUGAAGGGACGGACUACUCUGACCUUUUUUCCAAGAGUUUCAAGGCUUUGAGGUCUCUGAUCUAUAGAGAUCAAUGGAGAGAAAAAGGAACCGGUGAUGGGAGAUGAGAGUUGAGCCGUGGAUAAAGAGAGAGAAGAGAGAGGAAAGGUCAUUGGUGUUUUCUCUCUAUUAAGUUCCAUUCAUGGCUGCUUCUUGAAGAAGAAGGUGAAUCGAUGGGGUCGUUUGGGGUGGUAUGAAGAUGAUGUUCUUCAGGGGUGGGGGUCUGGGUCCAAAAACAGCAGAUUGUCUCUAACUUUUUGGUCCUAGAAUCUUUUAGCUUUUGUGUGUAUUUUCACUAAUAGUCUUUAGGUUUUUUGGCUGGCUUUUAUAGAGGGUAGGGAUCUAGGUGUCUGUAGGGUUUUUUAGGUUAAGGGGUAUGGGUCUAGAAAUUAAGGGCUAGGUCAGAAAAUUAGGCCUAAAAUGGGUCGUUUGAGCCCAAAUUUAUUCUUUCCCCGUGAACGAGACUAAAAUACGAUCUCAUUUAUUAAUUAGUCCUACUUAAUUAAAAUAAUUAUUAAAAUAAGACUGACCGCUAAAACAAAACUAUUUUUGUUUUAAAAGAUUAUUCCUACUUUUAAAACAAAAUUAGUCCUACUUUGGUAUUUUUCAAGAUUAAAUAUGACUGCAAAACAUUAAUGAAACUAUUUUUUUGUAAUUUUCAUUUUCUUGCAAUAAAAUAAAGUAAAAGAGUCAAAAUUAGUUGAGAUUGCGAUAUUAGGCCUAAAUUAAAUAUUUAUGUGCUAAAAGAUGAAAAAUCUUGGGGAGAUCAAAAAUCACGUCUACAAAAACCUAAGAAGCCCUUAGUUAAUGAGACCUAGAUUUUCUAAGAAGCCCAAUUGUUAGUUAAUUCAAGACAAUUUUAGCUAAAUUUUGGGCAAGAUGAUGGCCCAAUUUCGGACUAGCCCUUGAGCCCAAACCCCUCAUUGCCCCAAAAUUAACCCUUAGCCCAAUACCCAUUCCCUUUAGUUGAUCCUUAGACAUAUACACAUAAGGGGAGGAGCUGAAAAAAGACCCUAGAUCCCUAAAAAAUUCCAUCCGCCAUUUUCUUUACAAGAAAGACCUGAGGACCUUUCUUCUUCAACAAGAAGAACCCCUCAUCAGCUAAAAAGAAUACAAAAAUGAGGAGCUAAUUUCCUAAGACCUAGAUGCCAAAAGAACAGAUCCGUCGCAAUACACAUAACGACCCCCCCCCCCCGAACUCCAUCUUCUCCACACCCUUAGUUUCUUAUCUUCUUAACCUAGGAGACGCACCAACAGACCCUCCGUUCUUCAACCUUCGAGCUCACUAGAAAAGGGAUGACAACUGUUAAACACGAACCAAAGAGAAGUCAGCCAUCGUCGCACCCCACCAGAACUUACUGAAAACCAGUAGCGACAGCCACCUAGCCCGCCGGAAAUCCAUCCUUCAACAAUCAUCGACCUUCUUCUUCCCGAGCAGUGACCAGCGACAACCAACAAGCAGCCAUUGCUGCUUCUUCAACUCACUCACGACCACCAUAACAACCAGAACACAGCCUUCUCUCUCGUUUUCUGUCACACCUCCAUCGCCGGCGAGGUUCUAGUGUCGUCGCCUCUUCUGUUCAAGCCCUUGUCUGUUAGCCAAGCUUCGAAACAGUCUUGUGAAGGUUUAUUUCUCACACUACUUCUUUGUUGAGAUAUGUGAUUUUAUUUCUUAUUUUGAGUUUAUUUCGAACAUAUGACUGAAAUGAUUCCUGCUGUUAUUUGUUAUGUCUCAUUAGUUUUGGUUAAGCUUGUUAAUUUCCUGUUUGCUUGAUCUAAAGAGUCGUCAUGGAGCCUUGAAACAGUAUGGAUAUACCAAAGGGUAUGGAUAAUUGAUGUGUGAAUAUAUGCAACUUGUGUGUAAAUGUUUUUUUUAAAAUUAAUCAGAUGUUAAUUUGCUUUCUUGGUUUCAAAGGAAAAGGGUUUUACGUAUGUAACCCAGGUCAAGAAUCGGAUAGAUUACCCAAUACUCCUACUAGUUCUCGUGCUGCCUUGGACGGUUCUGCCUUUGGAUAUAUAAAGGAGAGGAAUGAGUAUAUGUAUUUUGGAAUGAUUUGUUAAUGCUAAGCAUAGGGAUUAAUUGGUAAAUGAAUUAUUUUCUAAUUGGGUUGUACGCUAACAUUUUAAGUGGUGGUUGGAAUCUUAAUUGGUUUAUCUUACUUAAUUUUGUUGUAUGGCCUAUGUGUUCCAGAAUUGGUUCUUUGAAAUAUCGAGUCUUAACAUGGAAUCACGGUAGUUUGCAUUAGGCACGAUUUUAAUAAAUAAUUGUGAUUGUGGACACGUUCGCGUGACAUAAUUAUAAUUUUAAAAAAAUAACAACAAAAUAGUUCGUGCAACUUCGACUAAACUUUCUUAAUAAUAACAAAUCAUUAUUAAUUGUGUACACAUUCGCGUGAUAUGAUUCUUGACGCUCCAAACGAAAUGAGUACACGUACGCGUGACUCGUUUUAAGAUAAUUCCUUAAGUAUGAAUAAAUCAAGAUUAAAAGUGGUUAGGGGGGAUGCACAUAGGUUCUAAAAUGAGUAAUUGAGCAAUUUUAAUAAGCCAAGUAUGAUCAAUGCGAUCGUUCUAGAACCACGGAACUCGGGAAUGCCUAACACAUUCUCCCAGGUUAAUAGAAUUUCUUACCCGGAUUUUUGUAUUCGUAUAAAUAGAGUCAAAUUUCCUCGAUUCGGGAUUUUAAUCCGGUGACUUGGGAAACCAUAAACUAUCCCAAGUGGUGACUCUGAAUUUUAAAUAAAUAAUCCCGUUUCGAUUGUCAAUUAAAUUGGAAAAACUCCCUUAUACUCCUUCUGGUGGUAGGAAAAAGAAGAUGUGACAGCUCCUUUUUCUCUACCCUGGAAGGGUAUAAGGGGAGUUUUUUUCAAUUUAAGUGACAAUCGAAACAUGAUUAUUGUUUAAGAUCAGAGUCGCCACUUAAGAUAAUUUAUGGUGUCCCAAGUCAUCGGUUUAAAAUCCUGAAUCGAGGAAGUUUUGACUCUGUAUUAAUUUUUGCGAACACAGAAAUUCGGGUAAGGAAUUCUGUUAAUCCAGGAGAAGAUGUUAGGCAUUCUCGAGUUUCGUGGUUCUAGCACGGUCACUUUGAUCAUACUUGGCUUAAAUAAAUAAUUUGAUUACUGAUUUUAGAACCUAUGUGCAUUUGCCUCUUUUAAUUAAGAAAUUAUCUUGUAACGGGUCACGCGCACGUGUACCCAUUUAUUUAGUGCAUCAAAAAUCAUCUCACGCGAACGUGUCCACAAUUAAUAACGCUUUAUUGUUAUUAACAAAGUUUGGCCAAAUUUGCGCGAACGCAUACUCCGGUUUUGUUUUUAAAAUCGUAAUCAUGUCAUGCGAACGUGUCCACAAUCACAAUGAUAUAUUAAAUGGGCCUAAAGCAAAUACGAGCAUUUGUCAUUUUUAUAUCUAGGUUAUAAGAUUAAUACGAGGGCCAUGAGUGAUUAAAUUAUGAAUGACACACCUCGGACUUAUAUGAACCAAAAUUAAUUAAAGAGGACUAUAUUAACAACAAAUUUAUUAUUAAGAAAGGUUUGAUCGAAGUUGCGCAAACGCAUGCUUCGAAUUGAUUUUUAGAAUUGUAAUUAUGUCACGCGAACGUGUACACAAUCACAAUUAUAUUUUAAACGCGCCUAAAGCCCUUUCUCGGUGUACAGUAAGACAACUCGUUGGGCUUUUCCAAUAUCUGAUAAAGUAAUGAUUUCCCCAUUUUUGAAGAAACGUGACCUACUCACAAUUCCUUCCUCAACUUAAUUGCUAAAAUGCUUACAAGGACACAACUUUCUCCUAUUUAUUUUUGGGAAUAUGUGAUUAACCAAAUUCAAUCCACAGCAAAAUUAACUCUUGAAGCAAAAUAGAGAAACCCCAAAUCAGAAGAAUCAAGAAUCCUGCACUAGGGCUAAGUCUGAUGAGUGAAAUCACAUAAAGAUCUAAAUCUACAAACCUAACCUCAACAUUUCUUAAUAGAAAUCUUAUUCAGAUCCAAGAUAACUAAGAUUCAAGAAAUAAAAUAAGAGGUGAAACAACAAGUGUCCCAAAAAACUGGCAGGGAAUCGGCAAAGCAACAUGGGGUAUUGUGAACAAGAAUUCUUGAAACUUGCAAGCAAAAUCUUUUUUGUUAAAACUACCAAAUUUUAACGAAUCUAACCUCUUCAUUCAUCUUUUGGCUUCAACAUUUACAACAAAUAAGGAUGAGCAAGGUUUCAGCGGUAGACCAUUUCCAAUUUAACUCUCAAAUAUAUACACGGUUAACAACAGCAAAUCGAAUAACUAGAGCAGUUGUACCACUAUAAUCUAAACACCCAGUUAAUUCAUUACUUUAGGAACAUAAUCUAUUGAUCGCGAUUCAAGCCAAACAAACAUAGUCAUGGAGAAAAUCAAGCACAUGUUAAUGCACCAAUCCAUACUUUAUUACAAAAAAAUAAAUGAGCUCAAUACACGGACAGAUCCAAAGACUUGUAGUCAUGAUUCAAUACCUGAGGAAGAGCAAAUCUUCUUUUAAUAGCAGUAAAAAUGAAAAGGCCGCUACAAAACUUCGAAUCAGAAAUCCGAGUGGGAAAACAACAGCAAGGGUCGCACAGGAACCUUCGAACCUCGACGAACAGUGAUGAACUUAAACCAACCUCAGAUCAGACAUUUUUUUGGAUGUUUGAAAAUUUAUUUGAGGAAGAAAGAUCAGUUGGGUCAUAUUUCGGUGAGACUGCUUGAAUCGCCAUUGGUUAUGAUGUUCUGAGUUUGUUCAUACUUUUACAUGUUGGAUCUUGAACGAAUUCCGCCAUGUGGCCACAUGAUUUUUGAAGGGACGGACUGCUUUGACCUUUUUUUCCAAGAGUUUCAACGCUUUGAGGUCUCUGAUCUAUAGAGAUCGAUGGAGAGAAAAAGGAACCGGUGAUGGGAGGUGAGAGUUUAGCAGUGGAUAAAGGGAGAGAUGAGAGAGGAAAGGUCGCUGGUGUCUUCUCUCUAUUAGGUUCCUUUCAUGGCUGCUUCUUGAAGAAUAAGGUGAAUCGAUAGGGUCGUUUGGGGUGGUAUGAAGACGAUGAUCUUCAGGGGUUGGGGUGGGGGUCUGGGUCCAAAAAACGGCGGAUUGUCUCUAGCUUUUAGGUCCUAGAGUCUUUUGGCUUUUUGUGUGUAUUUUCACUAAUAGUCUUUAGAUUUUUC